CCACCCCAGAAAAAUGCUCCAAACAUCAUUCCCAGAAAUACUAUCAAACCUGCAGGAGAAACAACAAACCAUACAUAACAAAUGGCUAGGCUACAUCUUGGGGGAAGAAUCUUACGCAACAUUGGCAUCUAGCAACAGCUGCUAUGCUAACCAGCCAAAUCUUGGUGUCAAUCACAGCACAAUGGCUCUAACAUUCAGUGUCGCAGUUGGAGACCCCAGCAGAAAGGUCAAGCCUCAUCUCUUUGAGCGAUUGCCUUUCUGAGUGACUGUGACUCAGAUUGGAAAAGUGUUGAUGAUGUAUGGAACAGAUCCGAGCUUACCUGGCCGAUGUCUGGAGGUCGCACACAUCACACCGGCUCAUUAAUCAGAUUUGAAUAGUCUUCUUUUAUCUGCCUUCCAAUGGCCUUAUACAAUGAUACAUCUCACACAGAGGCAAAAACAAUGUCAGUGCAAUACAUUACCAAACACAAGAAGUUUAUAUAGGCUAGUCAUAUAGACAUUUUAAAGGUGCAGUAAGCAUUUUCUGAAAAACAAUGAUGAUAUUUCAAAUCAACCGAAACAAAUUGCUCUCUUUAUUGCUCCAAUCCCAAAAAGCACAAAUUGUGGAGGCAAAGAGAAAAAAUGCUUUGUGAAAAACUUAGACGAACAAGGAAGAACAAGAAAUGAACAUACAGUACACAAGAGUAUUCUUUAAUAAAUAUAGUUGAAAUAUUCCACAGUCAUGCACAGUUUGUUUUUCUUUGGUUAUUUGAAUCUCUUUGCUCUAGUAAUUUGCUCUGGCAACUUAUAAAAUGUAAAAAAAAUAAAAAACCUUAAAAAAAUUGUACCUGUUGC